rnacentral:rRNA from 1 species
AGGAAUAUUGGUCAAUGGGCGAGAGCCUGAACCAGCCAAGUAGCGUGAAGGAUGAAGGUCCUACGGAUUGUAAACUUCUUUUAUACGGGAAUAAAGUAUCCUACGUGUAGGAUUUUGUAUGUACCGUAUGAAUAAGCAUCGGCUAACUCCGUGCCAGCAGCCGCGGUAAUACGGAGGAUGCGAGCGUUAUCCGGAUUUAUUGGGUUUAAAGGGAGCGCAGACGGGAGAUUAAGUCAGUUGUGAAAGUUUGCGGCUCAACCGUAAAAUUGCAGUUGAUACUGGUUUCCUUGAGUGCAGUUGAGGCAGGCGGAAUUCGUGGUGUAGCGGUGAAAUGCUUAGAUAUCACGAAGAACCCCGAUUGCGAAGGCAGCUUGCUAAACUGUAACUGACGUUCACGCUCGAAAGUGUGGGUAUCAAACAGGAUUAGAUACCCUGGUAGUCCACACGGUAAACGAUGGAUACUCGCUGUUGGCGAUAUACUGUCAGCGGCCAAGCGAAAGCAUUAAGUAUCCCACCUGGGGAGUACGCCGGCAACGGUGAAACUCAAAGGAAUUGACGGGGGCCCGCACAAGCGGAGGAACAUGUGGUUUAAUUCGAUGAUACGCGAGGAACCUUACCCGGGCUUAAAUUGCAGACGAAUUACGAGGAAACUUGUAAGCCGCAAGGCGUCUGUGAAGGUGCUGCAUGGUUGUCGUCAGCUCGUGCCGUGAGGUGUCGGCUUAAGUGCCAUAACGAGCGCAACCCUCGCGGUCAGUUACUAACAGGUAACGCUGAGGACUCUGGCCAGACUGCCAUCGUAAGAUGUGAGGAAGGUGGGGAUGACGUCAAAUCAGCACGGCCCUUACGUCCGGGGCUACACACGUGUUACAAUGGGAGGUACAGAAGGCAGCUACCCGGCGACGGGAUGCCAAUCCCCAAAACCUCUCUCAGUUCGGACUGGAGUCUGCAACCCGACUCCACGAAGCUGGAUUCGCUAGUAAUCGCGCAUCAGCCACGGCGCGGUGAAUACGUUCCCG